UGGAGGGUCUGCCAAUGGUAAGCAGCGGCGCUCUGGACGCCGUAAUGUAGGUUCGACUCCUACCCCUCCAG
rnacentral:tRNA from 1 species